rnacentral:rRNA from 1 species
AGUCGAGCGGUAGAGAGAAGCUUGCUUCUCUUGAGAGCGGCGGACGGGUGAGUAAUGYCUAGGAAUCUGCCUGGUAGUGGGGGAUAACGUUCGGAAACGGACGCUAAUACCGCAUACGUCCUACGGGAGAAAGCAGGGGACCUUCGGGCCUUGCGCUAUCAGAUGAGCCUAGGUCGGAUUAGCUAGUUGGUGAGGUAAUGGCUCACCAAGGCGACGAUCCGUAACUGGUCUGAGAGGAUGAUCAGUCACACUGGAACUGAGACACGGUCCAGACUCCUACGGGAGGCAGCAGUGGGGAAUAUUGGACAAUGGGCGAAAGCCUGAUCCAGCCAUGCCGCGUGUGUGAAGAAGGUCUUCGGAUUGUAAAGCACUUUAAGUUGGGAGGAAGGGUUGUAGAUUAAUACUCUGCAAUUUUGACGUUACCGACAGAAUAAGCACCGGCUAACUCUGUGCCAGCAGCCGCGGUAAUACAGAGGGUGCAAGCGUUAAUCGGAAUUACUGGGCGUAAAGCGCGCGUAGGUGGUUUGUUAAGUUGGAUGUGAAAUCCCCGGGCUCAACCUGGGAACUGCAUUCAAAACUGACUGACUAGAGUAUGGUAGAGGGUGGUG